rnacentral:rRNA from 1 species
ACCUGCCUGUAAGACUGGGAUAACUCCGGGAAACCGGAGCUAAUACCGGAUAGUUCCUUGAACCGCAUGGUUCAAGGAUGAAAGACGGUUUCGGCUGUCACUUACAGAUGGACCCGCGGCGCAUUAGCUAGUUGGUGGGGUAAUGGCUCACCAAGGCGACGAUGCGUAGCCGACCUGAGAGGGUGAUCGGCCACACUGGGACUGAGACACGGCCCAGACUCCUACGGGAGGCAGCAGUAGGGAAUCUUCCGCAAUGGACGAAAGUCUGACGGAGCAACGCCGCGUGAGUGAUGAAGGUUUUCGGAUCGUAAAGCUCUGUUGUUAGGGAAGAACAAGUGCGAGAGUAACUGCUCGCACCUUGACGGUACCUAACCAGAAAGCCACGGCUAACUACGUGCCAGCAGCCGCGGUAAUACGUAGGUGGCAAGCGUUGUCCGGAAUUAUUGGGCGUAAAGGGCUCGCAGGCGGUUUCUUAAGUCUGAUGUGAAAGCCCCCGGCUCAACCGGGGAGGGUCAUUGGAAACUGGGAAACUUGAGUGCAGAAGAGGAGAGUGGAAUUCCACGUGUAGCGGUGAAAUGCGUAGAGAUGUGGAGGAACACCAGUGGCGAAGGCGACUCUCUGGUCUGUAACUGACGCUGAGGAGCGAAAGCGUGGGGAGCGAACAGGAUUAGAUACCCUGGUAGUCCACGCCGUAAACGAUGAGUGCUAAGUGUUAGGGGGUUUCCGCCCCUUAGUGCUGCAGCUAACGCAUUAAGCACUCCGCCUGGGGAGUACGGUCGCAAGACUGAAACUCAAAGGAAUUGACGGGGGCCCGCACAAGCGGUGGAGCAUGUGGUUUAAUUCGAAGCAACGCGAAGAACCUUACCAGGUCUUGACAUCCUCUGACAACCCUAGAGAUAGGGCUUUCCCUUCGGGGACAGAGUGACAGGUGGUGCAUGGUUGUCGUCAGCUCGUGUCGUGAGAUGUUGGGUUAAGUCCCGCAACGAGCGCAACCCUUGAUCUUAGUUGCCAGCAUUUAGUUGGGCACUCUAAGGUGACUGCCGGUGACAAACCGGAGGAAGGUGGGGAUGACGUCAAAUCAUCAUGCCCCUUAUGACCUGGGCUACACACGUGCUACAAUGGACAGAACAAAGG